GCCAGGUGUAGUGACGAACACCUGUAGUCCCAGCUACUCAGGAGGCUGAGGCAGGAGAAUUGCUCGAACCCAGGAGGUGGAGGUUGCAAUGAGCUGAGAUCAUGCCACUACACUCCAGCCUGGGUGACAGAGCAAGACUCUGUCUCAA
rnacentral:SRP_RNA from 1 species